rnacentral:tRNA from 1 species
GGAGAGGUGGCCGAGAGGCUGAAGGCAGCCGCCUGCUAAGCGGUUGAGGGGUUAACAGCCCCUCCGAGGGUUCGAAUCCCUCCCUCUCCGCCA